AGAGGUGAGGGCAAUCUGGCUGUGACAUCUGUCACCCCAUUGAUCACCAAGGUUGUUUUGGCUGAUCUGGCUGGCUAGGCAGGUGUCCCCUUCCUCCCUCACCACUCCAUGUGUGUCCCUCCCGAAGCCGCGUGCUCGCUGUAAGAGGAUGCCAUCCCAGGUAUAGAAGGAGUGUACUCCUUCUAUACCUCCAGUCUUUGAUUCCGGGUAUACGAUAGCUGCACUCCCCUGCUAGAACCUCCAAACAAGCUCAAGGUUUGCACUCACUUUUUCCUCUGAAGUUUCAAAAAACUGGAUUUGGUGUGUGUCACUAUUUUAUUUU
rnacentral:snRNA from 1 species